GACGAACGCUGACGGCGUGCUUAACACAUGCAAGUCGAAGGGAGUGGCGAACGGGUGAGUAACACGUGAGUAACCUGCCCUUUUCUUUGGGAUAAGCCUGGGCAACUGGGUCUAAUACUGGAUGGUUUGGGCUGGUCUCGCGGUUUAUUAGCUUGUUGGUGGGGUGAUGGCUUACCAAGGCUUUGACGGGUAGCCGGCCUGAGAGGGUGGUCGGUCACACUGGGACUGAGAUACGGCCCAGACUCCUACGGGAGGCAGCAGUGGGGGAUAUCGCACAAUGGACGAAAGUCUGAUGCAGCCAUGCCGCGUGUAUGAAGAAGGCCUUCGGGUUGUAAAGUACUUUCAGCGGGGAGGCGUUACCCGCAGAAGAAGCACCGGCUAACUCCGUGCCAGCAGCCGCGGUAAUAC
rnacentral:rRNA from 1 species